rnacentral:lncRNA from 1 species
UUCAAAUUCAGUUCUUUCAUAUUCUUUUGUUUAUUAUGAUAGGAAAAACAUAAUAUCCUACAGCUGUUGAGAUUUCUAACAUAACCGAAAAUAAAAUUGAAAAUUAAGAGAAUGGCUUCCAAACCACAAAUGGUGAUGGAGCCUUAAGCAAUACUAUCUAUCUUGGGCAGUGUUUCCAAACAUCAUAAAAAGGUUAUCGUCCCUCUAUAUUUGUGAGAGUAAGGGAAUUCAUGGAAUUUUCAGUUCUGUCCCUAAUUUGCUCCAGAUCACUGCUCCUCUGUCCAUAGUGCCCAGGGUUGUUGGGUGCUGGCAGUGUGGUGCUUCCAUUCUCUAGAGUGAACACAACAGAUGACAUAAGUGGUCUAUCAUCUGGGUUUUCUUGAACGCACAAGAGUCCCACAUGACUGCAAAGCGAAACUUCAUCUAGCAAACAAGCAUCCGUAAUGGAUUGGUCUGCUAAAUCUCUCGUCUUCCCCUCCUUCCACAUGUUCCAAGCCUGAAACAAUCAAAACAAUUAUUUGGAUUUAUGGUAAGCGAGAACCUGAAGACUCUGAUUUUAAUCAGUUACAGCUCCAUAAAAGGCAUAUACUCACAUAGACUAUUAGGUUCGGAGAACCUAUAAUGCUACUAACAGAACUUCUCUUUAUACCAGUAACAAUCUCUAAGAGUAGAACACCAAAGCUAUAGACAUCGGACUUGAUGGAGAAGACGCCUUCCAUUGCAUACUCCGGAGCCAUAUAGCCACUGUUUGACCAUUUCACGUGCAGAUAUUAUUGAAUGAAAGCUGGAUUUAGUUAUGCUUUGUUUGAAAAAAAAUUAUAAAUAGUUACUCACUAUGUCCCAACAACACGAUGUGUGUUUGCAUCUUUCUGGUUAUCAUUGAAUAUCCUUGCCAUGCCAAAGUCUGCUAUCUUUGGUCUCAUGUCUGCAUCUAGCAAAACAUUAGCGGCUUUGAGAUCUCUAUGAAUUAUGGUCAAUCUUGAAUCUUGGUGGAGAUAGAGAAGUCCUCUUGCAACCCCUUUGAUUAUAUUGAAUCGUGUAGGCCAAUCCAACAUCUUCCUCGAAUUAUCUGCAUUGAAGAGAUUCAAGGUAACACAAUUUUUGGCUUUUAUGUGCUAUUUAUAAGAAUUUAUGGCGUGUCACAUACCAAAGAGGGUAGCAUCUAAGCUUCCAUUAGCCAAGUAUUCAUAAAUAAGGAUUUUCUCAUCAGCCUCAACACUGCAACCAAGAAGUCGAACCAAAUUUCUAUGUUGCAAUUUAGCAAUUAGAAUUACUUCAUUGCUAAAUUCCUUUGUUCCUUGCUCAGAAUCCUUGCUUAACCUUUUGAUGGCAACUUCUUUACCACCAAGCAUCGCCUUCAGGAAAAGUAAAGAGAAAAAUUAGAUUUGAGUUUAUCACACAGACAACUCAAUGUAAUUGGAGCACAUUAUUAUAAUUAACAAAAAUCAAUGUAAUUACAUGACCAGAACUAAUAAGAGGAAAUCACUGUCGAAUUAAGUAAUUACCUUAUAAACUUUGCCGAAACCCCCCUGCCCGAUCUUACAUGCCUCUGAGAAAUUGCGUGUUGCAGUCACAAUAUCCUCAAAUCUGACAGAGAGGAAUUCAAAGUCUUGGGCAAGGUUUCGUUCCCCAAGUUCAUCGGAUGUACUCAUGUCAUCCAAAGUUAGCUUCUUAUGCCUCGACCAAUGACUUAAUUUACCUGUUUUCUAAAUUCCAUAAGCAAUUGCUCCUUCGAAUAAUGAGAUAUAGACAAUGCAACUAUGUUGAGUUCUACCUUUGAACUUGAACCAUGCUAGGUAAAUGGCUGCGAGGAUCAAAAGGACACUUAUUAAAACUGCAGGGAGCACUGUCUUCAGUGUAUUGCUCUUCGCCCUCAUCGUGCCUGUGCUUUACAAGUUAGUGCAAAGUUUUAUGCUUUGCAAAUAGCACAACUGAUGAAAGCCUAAGGCCUAUUUUCCUUGCCACCAAAAAAAGAAGAAAUGGAGCAAAUUACAACAAUAACAACCAACAAGAAACACACGUUUUUUGGAAUCCACGAAUUUCACAUGGAAUCUUUUGAUUGUGUUUAAAACAAGAGGGGUUUUUGGCGGGCACACCUCGAAUACGCUUAGCGCUGAACAUUGAGCCUAUGUAUGCUUUGCUUCGUUUGGAAUAAAGCGGGGCAGACCAUUUCUCUAAAAAAACGAGAGGAGUUUCUAGGCUUCCAAAUGGGUUUUCAAAAUUUCGUCAAUGCUAGAUAAGAAGAUAAAGUCUGUGGCACACCUGCAUCGAAGCCUGCAAUCCGGAGGUACAGCGUGUCAGUGCCAUCCCCGUUACCUAUCUUCUCCGUGUCAAUCAGAUCGCCGGCCCACACCAAGCACCUCGUCACAUCCCCGUUCGUUCUGCUGGUGCUCAGAUUGGCAUAAGCAUAGGCCACGCACGAACAGUUCCUGGUGCACUCCGCUGCGCACUCCUGGAAUGUUCGAUUCUGGACGAGCACGAACUUGUCCGGCGAUUUCAUCCCCGGCAAGGCCAAGAAACCGUCACCGCACCGCAGCGCCUCCUUUCGCCGGCACCCCUGUGAGAACCUGCCGCCCUUCCAAUCUUCUAAGCUCGCCGGCUCAAAACCGUCGAGGCACUUGCACGUCGCGGGAAGCUCUAUGUAGUCGCAGUAGCCGUUCGGGCCACAGUAGCUGUAGCGGCUGCACUCGCCGGCACCGCGCGUCCAAUCCCAGAGGAAGGUCCAUGCGGACGAGCUGCUGUUCCAGGUUUGGAGCUGGAACUCACCGGAGUGCGUGAGCACAUGCCUGGUGUACGCGGCGCCGGCGGAGAGGCUGAAGGUCAUGUAGAUCUCCUCCUGGGUGUUGACGAUGGUGAGGUAGACGAUGACGCUGGUGAUCGCCCGGUACUUGACGGCGACGAAGUAGCCCGUCCAUGGUCCGCUGCGCCAGAUCGGACGCGUGGCGUUCCAGAGGAAGACCUGGAGGAACGUGUCUGGGUCCACGCCGAAGGAGAAGGAUCCCAGCGAUGGGUCGUCGGGGCCCUUCCACGAGACCAGGCGCUCGCCGGCGCGCGUCUCAUACCUGAUCCGAAUCUUCAUGCCAGGGAGGAACGUGUCGGCCGGGUGGUCGAAGCUCUGCCAUAAGGCGGUGCCGUCGGGAGACCGGAUGACGAGGUUGCCGGUGUUGAGAAGCACCGCGGCAGCGUUGCCGGCCGCCGGAGCUGCACCGGUGACGUCCGUCGUCCACAGAACACGGCCGUCGGAGUCGGACAGGACGAGGUUGUUGGAGGAGUUGGUCAGGGACAGCGCCGGUGGCGAAGAGAAGGUAGCGCCAGCGCUGCUAUUUGUGGCCGGGGUUUCUCUGUUGGCGACCCACACGACGGUGCGCCGGCGGAUGUCGUUGUACCAGAUGCCGAGGUACAGCUUGGCCGGGGUGGAGUUGGUGGGGGAGAAGAAGCCCAAGGCGAAGCUGCCGCCGUCGGAUACGAUGGUGGCGCCAGGGGAGAGCGGCUUGCCGGGGACGAGCCGGUCGUCGGCCGCACACGGUGGCGGCAGCAGCAGCAGCAGGAGGACAGUGGCGUACUUGAUGAUAGCUGGCCAAGCCAUCAAGCUAGCACCUAUCCUUUGCAAUUCUAGCUACUUAGCUGGUUGGUCGUCAUUGAUCAGCAUUCAGCAACGCAACUGGAUGUUUUUACUGGAGAAGGUAUUGCUGCCAUGAGCCUUGGUCUACGGUACACUGGCAAACGAUGUCAACGCAACUGCCUUGUGUUUUCUUAAAACUAACAAAAGAUAAUCACAGCAACGUCAUCUGUUACGCAGGAGAUGAGCGAGACUGAGAAGAGAUGGCAUAUUAUUAGAUGGUUGAAAUGAAGAAACCCCUCUACAGGCUCAGCAACGAAAGUACAGAACAUAAUAAACAGGGCACGGAGUAGAAUAAUAGUGCAAAAGCUUGGAAGUCCGAUGGACCUUUUCAAGGAUCAGAGUUUCAGACACGUAUUGUGGUUGACAUUUCAGCUGUCCACGUCGGCUCUUUGCGGUAGUUAGGAUGCUGUCCUUUCCUUUCUUCUUUUGAAGUGGUAAAUUUUGUUGUAUACUCAGUACAAAAAUUUCUAGUUUCCGUGCGGUUUCAUCCGCCGUUAGUUUCAGGCCGGCGUGAGAUUAAGCACGCACGAUCAUAGUCGCAUUUGGAAGCACGUACGGUUCCUCAUCAAGUGCCAUUGUGAAAUCCAAGAGUUGCUGCUCAUCAGUUAUUUCUUUCUUUCAUGAAUGGUACUCUCAAUGUUAAAUCGUCAAGUACUGUAUUUUAUUUAGUUGACGCAUGACAAGGUAAACAAAUAACCUUUCCGGGUUUUUUUCUUGGAAAAAAAGGGGUGGGAUCGUAUUUUAGGAAAGUUUAAGGGCUCCCCUUUUAAUGGUAAAUGGAGAGCCCUCCCCAUUUAGCUUUUAACUUUUAUUUAAUCAGAGUUCAUUUCUUUAAUUUUUUUCCGAGGUUGAGUUCUGCACUCACACUUGUGCCCGUGGUGGUUCUGAAAUGUUCAGCAUUGCUAGAAACAAGGACCAGUCUUCUCUGCAUGUGUCACGCAAGAUCAAAUCUUAACCAACACCAACCACCACACACACUGGAUCAGAAUUCUGAUUGGAACGAAGCUGGCAUGAUGCUGCAACCUGAUACGAAGUCAGUGUGGAAGCACGGUUCCUCGCGUGCCUUUAUCAUUCCAAUAAUAGCUCUCAGCUCGUGCUGCUCGAUGAAUUUCUUCAUACAUGAACUAUCCUUCUGAAAACUUUGUAGGCAACGAAAUCCAGGUUCACCCGUUAUAUAAAAAAAAAGAAUUGUCCUUCCAUUUUUCAUCACAAAGAGUAGAAAUGAAACACCAUCAGUCAACUCUAUUUGUUCAAAUUCAGUUCUUUCAUAUUCUUUUGUUUAUUAUGAUAGGAAAAACAUAAUAUCCUACAGCUGUUGAGAUUUCUAACAUAACCGAAAAUAAAAUUGGAAAUUAAGAGAAUGGCUUCCAAACCACAAACGGUGAUGGAGCCUUAAGCAAUGUCUAUCUUGGGCAGUGUUUCCAUACAUCAUAAAAAGGUUAUCGUCCCUCUAUAUUUGUGAGAGUAAGGGAAUUCAUGGAAUUUUCAGUUCUGUCCCUAAUUUGCUCCAGAUCACUGCUCCUCUGUCCAU